CUGCUCUUUAAAUUUUACUUUCUUCAAGGUAGUCUGAACUAACUUUAAGUUUUCUCUCAGUAUAUCUCCACAGCACUUGGGACUUCUGUUUCAGUACCACAGAUUAGGUUUGUGAGUUUUUAUUCAAAGUGUGUCUCCUGGGAAGACAAGUCACAGGGACCACCUCUGUGUGAUUCGCAAUAUCCCACAACGAAUGUGGAUCGGUUCAAACUCGGAAGCUGCACAUGUAGAAGGACUCUCUUUGGAGUCUUAGGAAUUGCAAUUUAAGAGACACAUGUUCUAAUAAUUCUGAUUCUGUGUUCCAAUGAAGCCCAGGAUAACCAGAGCCUAGGCAGACAAGCAUUUAUCACAAAGCAGUAAAAAUUCCUUGUAGGAAACAUCCAUUAAAUGCUGAGAAAGAAUAGAGGGCAGCGACUGAAGGUGAAGAAAAGAAUGUCUAGACAGAAUGGAACGGUCCAUAAAGCGAGGUUCUGAGGGCCUCCUGCUCGGGGGCCUGGCCAUCCCCGUGCCCACAGCCGGGCAGCGGCUUGGCGGUAAGUCCUGCUUCUCAGUGGCUCCCAGCUCCCUCACUGUUGCCUUGGCCAUCGUUUGCACGCACAGCGUCUAAAGCAGGUGUGCUGCAGACGUACUCGUCUCUCUUAUUUAAAUAUAAGUGGCUGUUUGCGCUUAGGGGUUGAAAGGCUAAACUAGUCAGCAAGUAAUCCGCCAGGCAAGGAGAAUGACCCGAAUGACCCGGACGAGAUCCUGCCGGAGACCAGAGGAGUGCGGUGAAGGAAUCCGUCUGCGGCGCAAGGAGGAGAAAGAUCAAAGAGCGCUGAGUAAACCAUCGGGAAGCCAGAAAGGUCUGGAGCCAGUGGAGGAGCAGCUGAUGAACAAGGACUCGGAGAACAUGAGAGUACCAACGCCUGACGACUCAGAGGUCCCAAUGACUGGGGACGCGAGAGCCAUUUGGGAGCUGGAAACCAGGAGGACCUUGCGCAAUACCCGGGGAGACCCCCUGGAGGCCAUUCUUGCCCUAACUGUGCAGGCUGCGGUAGAGGAGUGAGUGGAGCUCCAGAGAGGUCUGCGCUGGGACUUCAUGGAUUACAUGGGUGCCCAAUAUUCAGAUUCUGUAAAACUGCCUUCAUGGAGAAGAACUGUGGUCUCCAAGGAGGAGCCCCGCGAAAUCAUGACUAUAGAGGAAAAAGUGGACAGCCCGUUGCUGGACACUGGUGCUGGUCUCUCGGUCCUUCUUGUCAGCCCUGGUCUUCCUUCCAGCCGUCACAUCUCAGUGAGGGGAGUCACUAAUGAGGAGGUAAUCCCCUAUUUUUUGCAACCCUUGGGUUGUAACUACUUGUUGGAUCUUCCUUGCACAUCUUUGUUUCCUGAGAAACCACCUUGAGGAUGCCAACAUGUAUUGCAGCAGCCACUGAUGCUACCAAUAUGUCCAUAACUCUGUAAUGUUUGUAUUGUUCCUAUGCUAUUUCGAAAAUGGAUGUAUGUUUGUUACUAUGUGUUUUCAACAACAGCCAUUGAGAAUAGUCAACGAUUAUUUGAUUGAUCACUCAUGUAUAACUCAAUUUCUUUUCCCUAGAGACCACUUUGGAGAAACCAAGAUAUAGUAUAACAAGCAUUGAUAAUUUCCUGCCAUUUUUGUCUGUAACUCACUAUUAUUUGUCUAUUUGUUUUCCUGAGAAACUAUCUUGAAGAUACCAAUAGGUAAAAUAACAACCAUUGAUAAUGUCCUACCACUUUGUCUGUAAUUCAGUGAAUCUCCCUAUUGCUAUGUUGUCCUUCUUUCACUCUUUAAAAAAAAAAAAAAAAGAUUGGGAGUUGUUUUCUUUAAAACACUUCACUC
ensembl:lincRNA